rnacentral:rRNA from 1 species
ACAUGCAAGUCGAGCGAAGAGAUGGGAGCUUGCUCCCAGAUCUUAGCGGCGGACGGGUGAGUAACACGUGGGCAACCUGCCCUGCAGACUGGGAUAACUCCGGGAAACCGGAGCUAAUACCGGGUAAUACAUCGCACCGCAUGGUGCAAUGUUGAAAGUUGGCUUUCGAGCUAACACUGCAGGAUGGGCCCGCGGCGCAUUAGCUAGUUGGUAAGGUAAUGGCUUACCAAGGCGACGAUGCGUAGCCGACCUGAGAGGGUGAUCGGCCACACUGGGACUGAGACACGGCCCAGACUCCUACGGGAGGCAGCAGUAGGGAAUCUUCCGCAAUGGACGAAAGUCUGACGGAGCAACGCCGCGUGAGUGACGAAGGCCUUCGGGUCGUAAAGCUCUGUUGUUAGGGAAGAACAAGUACCGUUCGAAUAGGGCGGUACCUUGACGGUACCUAACCAGAAAGCCACGGCUAACUACGUGCCAACAGCCGCGGUAAUACGUAGGUGGCAAGCGUUGUCCGGAAUUAUUGGGCGUAAAGCGCGCGCAGGCGG